rnacentral:rRNA from 1 species
CGUGUAGGCGGAUAUGUAAGUCUACUCUGAAAGCUUCUGGCUAAACUGGAAGAGGCGAGUGGAGACUGCAUGUCUAGAGUGAGGAAGAGGAAAGUGGAAUUCCGCGUGUAGUGGUGAAAUGCGUAGAGAUGCGGAGGAACACCAGUGGCGAAAGCGGCUUUCUGGUCCUUAACUGACGCUGAGGCGCGAAAGCAUGGGGAGCGAACGGGAUUAGAAACCCCGGUAGUCCAUGCCGUAAACGAUGUUCACUAAACGUUCGUUUCCCGCGAGGGAAGCGGGUGUUGAAGCUAACGCAGUAAGUGAACCGCCUGGGGAGUACGGUCGCAAGGCUAAA